AAUGCUCAAGGUAACCUAGGGUUUAACUAUCAAUCCUAAAAUAGUCAGCCACAUUAUAUUUCAACCUUUCAAAUCCAUCACAUGGAUUAUCCUGACCAAAGUUUUACUAAAUUAAAAUACACUGAUGCAUUAACUCCUACUUAUUCAAAGAGAUUAAUCCCAUCUUGACUCAUGUACCGGCUCGAUAAGUAUUUGACUACACCCAAAAAUCUUCUCGGAUGAGGUGA
rnacentral:lncRNA from 1 species